rnacentral:rRNA from 1 species
GAUGAACGCUGGCGGCGUGCCUAACACAUGCAAGUCGAGCGAUCUUCUUCGGAAGAGAGCGGCGGACGGGUGAGUAACGCGUGGGUAACCUGCCCUGUACACACGGAUAACAUACCGAAAGGUAUGCUAAUACGGGAUAACAUACUUUUAUCGCAUGGUAGAAGUAUCAAAGCUCCGGCGGUACAGGAUGGACCCGCGUCUGAUUAGCUAGUUGGUAAGGUAACGGCUUACCAAGGCGACGAUCAGUAGCCGACCUGAGAGGGUGAUCGGCCACAUUGGAACUGAGACACGGUCCAAACUCCUACGGGAGGCAGCAGUGGGGAAUAUUGCACAAUGGGCGAAAGCCUGAUGCAGCAACGCCGCGUGAGCGAUGAAGGCCUUCGGGUCGUAGAGCUCUGUCCUCAAGGAAGAUAAUGACGGUACUUGAGGAGGAAGCCCCGGCUAACUACGUGCCAGCCGCCGCCGUAAUAC